rnacentral:rRNA from 1 species
GACGAACGCUGGCGGCGUGCUUAACACAUGCAAGUCGAGCGGUAAGGCCCUUUCGGGGGUACACGAGCGGCGAACGGGUGAGUAACACGUGGGUGACCUGCCCUCAGCUCUGGGAUAAGCCUGGGAAACCGGGUCUAAUACUGGAUAUGACUCCAUGACGCAUGUUGUGGGGUGGAAAGCCUUGUGCGGCUGAGGAUGGGCCCGCGGCCUAUCAGCUUGUUGGUGGGGUGAGGCCUACCAAGGCGACGACGGGUAGCCGGCCUGAGAGGGCGACCGGCACACUGGGACUGAGACACGGCCCAGACUCCUACGGGAGGCAGCAGUGGGGAAUCUUGCGCAAUGGGCGAAAGCCUGACGCAGCGACG